GUGUUAAUGAAUAUUCAUAACUCUACACACCUCCAAACCACGCAGCAAGCAUUUACAGGGUGCCACAGUCACUUGUACAAUUCCAUACGUUCAUAUCUCCACAAUCAGAACAGAGCACAGCCCAUCAUUGGUAAGAGAGUGUCCAGCAUC
rnacentral:lncRNA from 1 species